rnacentral:rRNA from 1 species
UACGAAGGGGUGCAAGCGUUAAUCGGAAUUACUGGGCGUAAGCGUGCGCAGGCGGUUGUGCAAGACCGAUGUGAAAGUCCCCGGGCUUAACCUGGGAAUGGCAUUGGUGACUGCACGGCUAGAGUGUGUCAGAGGGGGUAGAAUUCCACGUGUAGCAGUGAAAUGCGUAGAGAUGUGGAGGAAUACCGAUGGCGAAGGCAGCCCCCUGGGAUAACACUGACGCUCAUGCACGAAAGCGUGGGGAGCAAACAGG